UUUGUUUGUUGGGCCUAAGCAUGGAGUACGUGGCUUCAUUGUGUCCAGCCAGGUAUAGCCCUUCAACUUUACUUUCCCAUUCUCUCUCUCUGAACCGAAUCACACCACCACGCCAUUGCUCCCUCUCCCUCUCUCUCUCUCCCUAGAACGAAAUCCUCAUCGCCAUCACGCCAGUACUCCGUGAAUCGGAGAAGAUAAGGGACGUUGAGUUUGAGAGAUUUCGGGAAUGGAAACAUCAAAUCGCGAUGAGAAGGUUGCACGACUCUUCCCCUGGACUUGUAUUUCAACGCGGAAUUUGAAUUGCAUGUAGGUCGCGAUACAUGCAUUGAUGGACUCGCGAUUUUGUUGACGAAUUUACCAUAGGAUACCAACGGGGCUACCAUGGUUUCUAGGGUUAAUUGCACGAACUUGUUAUGGGAGGAGUUGGUUGCUCAGAACAAGUGCAAUUUAGCAGAUUUGCAAGUCCUGAAAUUGUUGUUUUGUACGCGAUUUAGCCAAAGGAUGUGUAUGGAUGGAAGAAUGUUUUGUUUACAUUACGCCUCCGUGCACUCAUGAGUCUCACGCUUAUUCUCGCACCCACGAUCCAUAUACAUGGGUUAAAUACGUGUCUAGCGAGCCCAUACUUCCCAACCAACCCAAUGAAGGAAUGAGAAAAUCGGAAUGAGACAAAAGAGGGCAUUUAUAUUGCUAAAAGAUUUUGAGUUGAUAAAAGGUGUAAACCUUGACCCAAUACCAUUUGACAUGGACUGAGAUCUUCUCACCCCCAAUUUCCAAGAAGAAGAGGGACAAGUUUCUCAAAUACUAUCAGCCUAUGUUUCAAGGAGUGCUUCUGGUUUCUGACUUUAUUAUUUGUAUACUUAGAGUCUAGAAGAUCAACAUUGUGUGGGGGGCUCAUCAUUGUGUUCUGAACCCCGUAACCUAAUGAAGUGGGUAGGAGUAUUGUUGGCUAUGAGAAUGUCCAUGAUGAAAUCCAAGCUGACUAAGUGAAACGCCUUCAUAAGAUCAACCUUUAUGGCGCACCGCGGGGAACCUUGAAGCCUAUCAUUCAAACAUUCCAGUUUUGUUGUCUCUAUAUUUUUUGAUAGUUGAUUUCACUUACAUUUACUAGACUCAAAUACUUGUACAAUUCCACAAACAUUCAACAUCGCUCUCCUCGACAGGCAUAAACAACUG